rnacentral:rRNA from 1 species
UACAGAGGUCUCAAGCGCUGUUCGGAUUCAUUGGGCGUAAAGGGCGCGUAGGCGGCAAGGCAAGUCGGGUGUGAAAGCUUGGGGCUUAACCCCGAAAGGGCACUCGAAACUGCGUUGCUAGAGGGCCGGAGAGGAGAUCGGAAUUCACGGUGUAGCAGUGAAAUGCGUAGAGCUCGUGAGGAAGACCGGUGGCGAAGGCGGAUCUCUGGACGGCCCCUGACGCUGAGGCGCGAAGGCUAGGGGAGCAAACGGG